rnacentral:rRNA from 1 species
AACGAACGCUGGCGGCAUGCCUAACACAUGCAAGUCGAACGAGACCUUCGGGUCUAGUGGCGCACGGCUGCGUAACGCGUGGGAACCUGCCCUUAGGUUCGGAAUAACUCCCCGAAAGGGGUGCUAAUACCGGAUAAUGUCUUCGGACCAAAGAUUUAUCGCCUUUGGAUGGGCCCGCGUUGGAUUAGCUAGUUGGUAGGGUAAAAGCCUACCAAGGCGACGAUCCAUAGCUGGUCUGAGAGGAUGAUCAGCCACACUGGGACUGAGACACGGCCCAGACUCCUACGGGAGGCAGCAGUGGGGAAUAUUGGACAAUGGGCGAAAGCCUGAUCCAGCAAUGCCGCGUGAGUGAUGAAGGCCUUAGGGUUGUAAAGCUCUUUUACCCGGGAUGAUAAUGACAGUACCGGGAGAAUAAGCUCCGGCUAACUCCGU